rnacentral:rRNA from 1 species
GUGGGGAAUCUUGCGCAAUGGGCGAAAGCCUGACGCAGCCAUGCCGCGUGAAUGAUGAAGGUCUUAGGAUUGUAAAAUUCUUUCACCGGGGACGAUAAUGACGGUACCCGGAGAAGAAGCUCCGGCUAACUUCGUGCCAGCAGCCGCGGUAAUACGAAGGGGGCUAGCGUUGCUCGGAAUUACUGGGCGUAAAGGGCGCGUAGGCGGACAGCUUAGUCAGAGGUGAAAGCCCAGGGCUCACCUGGGAACUGCCUUUGAUACUGGCUGUCUUGAGUUUGGGAGAGGUGAGUGGAACUCCGAGUGUAGAGGUGAAAUUCGUAGAUAUUCGGAAGAACACCAGUGGCGAAGGCGACUCACUGGCCCAAUACUGACGCUGAGGCGCGAAAGCGUGGGGAGCAAACAGGAUUAGAUACCCCGGUAGUCC